rnacentral:rRNA from 1 species
GACGAACGCUGGCGGCGUGCUUAACACAUGCAAGUCGAGCGGUAAGGCCCUUUCGGGGGUACACGAGCGGCGAACGGGUGAGUAACACGUGGGUGACCUGCCCCUCAGCUCUGGGACUAAGCCUGGGAAACCGGGUCUAAUACUGGAUAUGACUCCAUGACGCAUGUUGUGGGGUGAAAGCCUUGUGCGGCUGAGGAUGGGCCCGCGGCCUAGUCAGCUUGUUGGUGGGGUGANGGCCUACCAAGGCGACGACGGGUAGCCGGCCU